CUCAGACCUCCGGGUCAUCACGCUCAGUCUAACGAGUCUAACGGUUUCUGUGUUUUCAACAACGUGGCGAUCGCAGCUCGAUACGCUCAGAAGAGACACUCAGUCAGCAGGGUGUUGAUAGUGGACUGGGAUGUCCAUCAUGGUCAGGGGAUCCAGUACCUGUUCCAAGACGACCCCAGUGUGCUGUACUUUAGUGUCCACAGGUACGAGCAAGGGUCGUUCUGGCCUCACCUGUCGGAGUCAGACAGUCAGUUUAUUGGCAGCGGCCGUGCUGAAGGCAAAAACAUCAACCUGCCCUGGAACAAGGUCACCGUUCACACUGUUUACACCAUUCACAGUGAUAACACUCU